rnacentral:rRNA from 1 species
ACUCCUACGGGAGGCAGCAGUGGGGAAUAUUGCACAAUGGGCGCAAGCCUGAUGCAGCCAUGCCGCGUGUGUGAAGAAGGCCUGAGGGUUGUAAAGCACUUUCAACUGUGAGGAUUGGGAUUUUGGUUAAUACCCGAGAUCCUUGACGUUAGCAGUAGAAGAAGCACCGGCUAACUCCGUGCCAGCAGCCGCGGUAAUACGGAGGGUGCGAGCGUUAAUCGGAAUUACUGGGCGUAAAGCGCAUGCAGGUGGUUUGUUAAGUCAGAUGUGAAAGCCCGGGGCUCAACCUCGGAAUUGCAUUUGAAACUGGCAGACUAGAGUACUGUAGAGGGGGGUAGAAUUUCAGGUGUAGCGGUGAAAUGCGUAGAGAUCUGAAGGAAUACCGGUGGCGAAGGCGGCCCCCUGGACAGAUACUGACACUCAGAUGCGAAAGCGUGGGGAGCAAACAGGAUUAGAUACCCUGGUAGCUACGAGU